rnacentral:rRNA from 1 species
AUGCUCCGCAUCGGUAUUAUUCGUCCUAGUAACAGCUCGUUUGCUUCCCCAGUUCUGCUAGUUUGCAAAAAGGAUGGAACAUGGCGUUUUUGCGUUGAUUAUCGGCAGCUCAAUGCAAUCACACUUAAGAGCAAACACCCCAUGCCUAUAGUGGACGAGUUUUUGGAUGAACUUGCAGGGUCAGUCUGGUUUACAAAAUUGGAUUUGCUAUCAGGCUACCAUCAACUCCGAAUUGCUGAAGGGGACGAAUUCAAGACAGCCUUUUGUACUCAUCAAGGUCUUUACAAAUUUUUGGUGGUGCCCUUUGGAGUGACAGGAGGUCCAUUUUCUUUCCAAGGAUGGAUGUAUGCUGUGUUGGAACCAUUGCUGCGAAAAGGGGUGUUGGUCUUUAUGGACGACAUUUUGACCCACAACUCGACGUUGCAAGAGCACGUUAGCCAACUCCGUGCAGUUUUCCAACUCCUGAAAGAGAACAAGGUGGUGAUCAAACGGUCCAAGUGCGAGUUUGCUACCAAACAAAUCGAAUACCUGGGGCAUCAAAUCAGUGUCGAUGGCGUCGCUACGGAUUCUGCCAAGAUCGCAGCAGUCCAGUCUUGGCCUACACCAACAAACACCAGGACCUUGCGUGGAUUUCUCGGUUUGAUAGGAUACUACCGGAAAUUCAUCCAACACUACGGCAUGAUAAGCAAACCAUUGAUUGCACUCCUCUGCAAGGGAGUGUUGUUCCAGUGGACCCUAGAUGCAGAUAAGGCCUUUCAAUUGUUGAAAUCCGCAUUGACACAAGCUCCGGUUCUAGCCCUUCCUUAUUUUCAUGAUACCUUCGUUCUGGAGACGGAUGCAUGUAACACAGGGAUUGGGGCAGUAUUGAUGCAGCGAGGGCACCCUGUGGCUUACCUUAGUUGA